AAUAGAUACCCAGGUAGUCCACGCCGUAAACGAUGAGUGCUAAGUGUUAGAGGGUUUCCGCCCUUUAGUGCUGCAGCUAACGCAUUAAGCACUCCGCCUGGGGAGUACGGCCGCAAGGCUGAAACUCAAAGGAAUUGACGGGGGCCCGCACAAGCGGUGGAGCAUGUGGUUUAAUUCGAAGCAACGCGAAGAACCUUACCAGGUCUUGACAUCCUCUGCCAACCCUAGAGAUAGGGCGUUCCCCUUCGGGGGACAGAGUGACAGGUGGUGCAUGGUUGUCGUCAGCUCGUGUCGUGAGAUGUUGGGUUAAGUCCCGCAACGAGCGCAACCCUUGAUCUUAGUUGCCAGCAUUCAGUUGGGCACUCUAAGGUGACUGCCGGUGACAAACCGGAGGAAGUGGGGAUGACGUCAAAUCAUCAUGCCCCUUAUGACCUGGGCUACACACGUGCUACAAUGGAUGGUACAAAGAGCUGCGAACCCGCGAGGGUAAGCCAAUCUCAUAAAGCCAUUCUCAGUUCGGAUUGU
rnacentral:rRNA from 1 species